rnacentral:rRNA from 1 species
GACGAACGCUGGCGGCGUGCCUAAUACAUGCAAGUAGAACGCACAGUUUAUACCGUAGCUUGCUACACCAUAGACUGUGAGUUGCGAACGGGUGAGUAACGCGUAGGUAACCUGCCUGGUAGCGGGGGAUAACUAUUGGAAACGAUAGCUAAUACCGCUUAAUAUUGAUUAUUGCAUGAUAAUUGAUUGAAAGAUGCUAUUGCAUCACUACCAGAUGGACCUGCGUUGUAUUAGCUAGUAGGUGAGGUAACGGCUCACCUAGGCGACGAUACAUAGCCGACCUGAGAGGGUGAUCGGCCACACUGGGACUGAGACACGGCCCAGACUCCUACGGGAGGCAGCAGUGGGGAAUCUUCGGCAAUGGACGAAAGUCUGACCGAGCAACGCCGCGUGAGUGAAGAAGGUUUUCGGAUCGUAAAGCUCUGUUGUAAGAGAAGAACGGGUGUGAGAGUGGAAAGUUCACACUGUGACGGUAUCUUACCAGAAAGGGACGGCUAACUACGUG